UACAGAGGUCUCAAGCGUUGUUCGGAUUCAUUGGGCGUAAAGAGCGCGUAGGCGGUCCGGUAAGUCCGCUGUGAAAGUCAAGGGCUCAACCCUUGAAUGCCGGUGGAUACUGUCGGGCUAGAGUCCGGAAGAGGCGAGUGGAAUUCCUGGUGUAGCGGUGAAAUGCGUAGAUAUCUGGAAGAACACCAGUGGCGAAGGCGGUCAACUGGCCCGUAACUGACGCUGAGGCACGAAAGCGUGGGUAGCGAACAGG
rnacentral:rRNA from 1 species